AGAGAGAGACAGAGAGACAGAGAGAGAGAGAGAGAGAGAGAGAGAGAGAAUGCAUUAGGCACUUAGAGCCAUUCCUCUCUGGCUAAAGGCUAAUGCAAUUGCCACAAUAAGAGUCUCAACGGAGCCUGGAAAAAAACUGAGAGGGGGAUGAAAGAAGAGAAGGAGGGAGGGAGGGAAAGGGAGGGAAGAAAGGAGAGCAGCACUGCUUCCAGACUCUCACAUGGAUAGUGGAUCUCUUGGGACGAACAGUUAAACGUUUUUUUCUCACUAUCCUUUUCUAUAUCUUUCUCUCUCUCUCUUUUACUCUCGCUUUCUCUUACUUUCUUUUACUCUCUCUCUCUCUCUCUCUCUCUCGUUACUCUUCUGUAAGUGGACGAACUGUUGCUGUGCAUCUCCAGAGUGAUUCAUCAGGUUAAAAGAAACUACGGUAGCAGCCAGUCACUAGCCAGCGGGUUGUGUUAACUAGCUCCAAGUCUGACCUCUCCUCUCCACUGCUCACUUCUUCUCUAUGGGAAACCGAACAGACCAGGACAAGACAACCCUUCCCUCCCUCAUCUCCUCUCCCCCUUUUAUGUCCCCAAAAGAGACCUCGGCACAGGACAAAGUUGCUGCUGCUGCUGGAUCUGAAAUGGAACAUUCCUUAGAGCAGCCUUCCGAGAAAGAACUCCUCCACUGACUGCUCCACUCCUCCAUAUCCUCAGCUGAACUCGGCUCUCACGCAGCACUACUGGAUCUGUGGGCAUGGGUUGGUCUGACUUGGGAGCAGCCAGAGGACAGCCAGAGGACACUCCAGAUGUCUGGGGAGACAUCUGGAGGCCCCGCCGCUGCGGGCCAGGGAUGGGCACCCGGUUACGCUCGCUACCAGUCUGGCUGUGGUGGGGAGGGUUCCUGGCACAGUGAUUUGGUGCACAAAUAUAAACGAAAAUCACAUUGCCAGGGAUUUCCACCCUUACACAGGCAGCUCUCCAGGUGACCCAGGUGGCAUCGGUAUGUUCUGCCCGUCAGGGUACGUCGUUUCUGUUUCCCGAUCUUGGCCCUCUAUGGUCUAUGGAAACAAGAUCAUGUAAAAUAAUACUCAACUCCAGAUAAAAGCUGUUUUCAGCUCUCACACAGGGAUUUACAGAUUACUUCCUGGUAUUAGCUCCUUACAAACGGGAACUGUGGGAAACUGAGCCUACUUUGGCAGCCUUUGCUUAUAGACAUAAGGAGUGGAUAGAUCCAAAGUGCAAAGAGUGUUUUACCUUCUAUAGAAGUCUACAAAGUACUUCCAGCCUUAGAGGAAUCAAUCAACGUUCCUCCAGACUGCCAGUGAAAGUCUAUUUUCCUCAUGUGCAUCCUGUAGGGAGCAGCCACUUGCUAAAGGCACAGAGCUUAGCUAAUUGGUGAGCAUUGAUCCCUCUUAUGUGUUGUUCACAGUGGCUAAGUUCAGUGCCUGCGGUGAAAUAGUUGAUGCAGCAGGAUGUGCUCCAAACGAUGGCGAUGAACGAGUACUGGCUGAGUUCUGAGAUGUGAAGACGAAGGAAGAAGGUGGGAAGAGAGGGAGAGAUAAUGAUGGAGGAGUGAGGUGUUGCGUGGGCAUGGAGACAGAGGCAACAGCGGGAUACAGCACGAUCCCCGUAAGGAGCAGAGGAAAGAAGGCUGCUGGGGGAAUGUCAGGCCAGCCCUGGCAUGCCCAGUUCCACACUCCAUCUCAGUCAGUCAGUCAGUCAGAGCACAGCACCUGGCUUUGGCACUCGGCACUGGCACUGAUUUAUGUGGCAGAGGAUGGGGCACAGCUCACCUCACGUCCUCCCCAGAGGUGAGCUGGUGUGUGGGCUAGGCUGCCCUCUUGUCACACUCUGAGCUGGUGUGUGGGCUAGGCUGCCCUCUUGUCACACUCUGAGCUGGUGUGUGGGCUAGGCUACCCUCUUGUCACACUCUGACCUGAUGUGUGGGCUAGGCUGCCCUCUUGUCACACUCUGAGCUGGUGUGUGGGCUAGGCUGCCCUCUUGUCACACUCUGAGCUGGUGUGUGGGCUAGGCUGCCCUCUUGUCACACUCUGAGCUGUGGGGGCUUGGUACUUGGUAUAGAACCAUACCAAGCUAUCAUGCAACUCUGAGGCCACAUUACGAGUGUGUGGAAUUCACUUUAAGAGUUGACAUACAUGCAAAACAUCUUGUGGGACAGUGGUCAACCCAUUUACGUGAGGCACAUUUGUUUUUGUAGUUAUCUCUGUCCCCUUGUCCAUUGGUCAGUUGGUUAAUUGUGGAUCAUUAUUAUAGAGUUCUUAUGGCCUAUUGUAAUGUUGUUUUGUCAAGAGGUUUAGACCUCUUGUGGUAACUGCUUAGUAAGGCCUUAAAUUGAAAGUUUCUCAGGGUUACCCAUCAAAUUGGCUACAGUAUGUUCUGUGGUUUCCAUUCAGUCUCAAUGUAGAGUGGUAGAGUGUUUCUAAAGGGAUGGACGUGGAGGGUUAUAAUACUCUAUGGUUGGGGCUGUGCCCUCCUGUGCCUACUGAACUGGUAUCAGUUUGAACUCUGAGUACUGGCUCAGUUCAGCAGGAACAGGAGUGGAGCCCACUGUGUGCCAUUACGCCCUCCAAUCAGCAUGCAGAAAGACAUCCAGUACCCCAUUAGCCCUGCCCACCAUACCCCCAAGGGCUUGUGCCAUUGGCCUUGAUGAAACCCAACAUUCCUGUCAGCAUUAAACCCUGAGACAUCAGACAGAGGCAUUGCAGCCUGUGAGAGUUGAAUGUCCCUGCUUCAAGUAUGAAUGUUUCAUAACCAGAUUUAUCAUUAGGAACUGGCAGGCAGCAUGGAGAAGGUACAUUGAAUUUGCUGCAUACUGAUGCAGUUAUUCUCCUCGGACUUCAUGUUUAUUUCAGUAUGGCUUUUUCCCCUUGACAAUGCCGCAGCCAAGCACACACGCACUCUCUAGCUCUCUGAGCCGUCAGAGGGCAAACGGAGAAACUGAAGUUCAUUGUGCGGUAAUCCAAGUGAAAUGUCUGCUAUGUCCAUGUAAUUGACGUUACCUAGAGAGCCUCAUUUUCAGCUGAUUGGGAAUGUCUGCUAUUUUACUUUAUGCUCCCCUGCGACAGAGAUAAUGUGGCACGUUAUAAAUCAGGACUUUGGAAACAUUCUUUAUCUCAAGAUUUUUCACUCGUAGGAGAAAAGAGGUUCAUUAACCACACGAUAAAUCUCAUGCUCAUCCAAUGGGCCGUGGAUUGUAGACGGCAUUUGCCGCCUCUUGACAUUUUUGCAAUGACUUUUAACCUUGAAGAGAUUACCUGAAUGAAACCUAGUUUUGUAAUAUGACAAGACUGGUGGAUUCUUGUCCUCCGGGCAUUGGUCCAAAUUCAUAUCUUUUUUUUGUAUCUAUUAGGGGUAAAACAGGGGAUUAACAUCAAGCUACUACUUAAAAUGUCGCAUUUGUGGUUCCUUAACUCUGAGGCAUGCUGCUCUUCCUUUGUUGUCACAGGUGUCUCUUUCAUGCUGUUCUGUGAGUCACCACUUUUGCUGUAAAUCUCAUGUAAUCCUACCACAAAAUCCAUGAAUAAAAAAGUAUUACUUCAUA